rnacentral:tRNA from 1 species
GCGCCUUUAGCUCAGUCGGAUAGAGCACGUCUCUUCUAAAGAUGUGGUCGCUGGUUCGAAUCCAGCAAGGCGCACCA